UAGAGUUUGAUCCUGGCUCAGAUUGAACGCUGGCGGCAUGCUUUACACAUGCAAGUCGAACGGUAACAGGCCUUCGGGCGCUGACGAGUGGCGAACGGGUGAGUAAUGCAUCGGAACGUGCCCAGUCGUGGGGGAUAACUAUCCGAAAGGAUAGCUAAUACCGCAUACGAUCUGCGGAUGAAAGCGGGGGACCUUCGGGCCUCGCGCGAUUGGAGCGGCCGAUGUCAGAUUAGGUAGUUGGUGGGGUAAAGGCUCACCAAGCCAACGAUCUGUAGCUGGUCUGAGAGGACGACCAGCCACACUGGGACUGAGACACGGCCCAGACUCCUACGGGAGGCAGCAGUGGGGAAUUUUGGACAAUGGGCGCAAGCCUGACCCAGCAAUGCCGCGUGCAGGAAGAAGGCCUUCGGGUUGUAAACUGCUUUUGUACGGAACGAAACGGCUCUGGUUAAUACCCGGGGCUAAUGACGGUACCGUAAGAAUAAGCACCGGCUAACUGCGUGCCAGCAGCCGCGGUAAUACGUAGGGUGCAAGCGUUAAUCGGAAUUACUGGGCGUAAAGCGUGCGCAGG
rnacentral:rRNA from 1 species